GGGGAAGCAAUUGUGGAGUAAAGUUCCACCAAAUAAAUGAAGCAUAUGAUAUUGUGAUUAGUAAUUUACGAGGGGAAGUGAGCACACCACAAACAGAGAUGUGCGACGAUGGUGAUUCGGAAGAAGGGAUGAGAGGAAUGAACGAUCAAGAUUGGGAGUUGUGGGAAGAGUGGAUGGGAUGGGAAGGUGCUGGAAUUCGAGAUUACUCUUCCCAUAUUAACCCUUACAUUUAAUGACAUCUUCAAAAUGAGUUUAAUCAAGUGUUUAUAUAUAUAUAUAUUGUAUUGAAGUUGUAAAGAUGGUUGAGGUUGCUGUGUAUAAUGAUGUUUAAUAUAUAUAUUUUUUUUUUUGCUGUAUAUAUCAUGGCAUUGUUCCUUGGAAGGAACACUGUUAAUUGUAUCUUGUAUAUCAAUGUUAAUUAUUAAAUGAUUUUACUUAGUA